UAGGACCAGAGAUGGAGAAUGACAGC
rnacentral:piRNA from 1 species